UACACAUAUUCAUGAAGGUAAUG
rnacentral:snRNA from 1 species